rnacentral:rRNA from 1 species
AGAGUUUGAUCAUGGCUCAGAAUCAACGCUGGCAGCGUGCCUAACACAUGCAAGUCGAACGCGAAAGUGGAGCAAUCCAUGAGUAGAGUGGCGAACGGGUGAGUAACACGUGGGUGACCUACCUUCGAAUGGGGGAUAACGUCCCGAAAGGGACGCUAAUACCGCAUAACAUCCUGUCCUUGAACGGAUGGAGAUCAAAGCCGGGGAUCGCAAGACCUGGCGUUUGGAGAGGGGCCCGCGUCCGAUUAGCUAGUUGGUGAGGUAAUGGCUCACCAAGGCGACGAUCGGUAACCGGCCUGAGAGGGCGGACGGUCACACUGGGACUGAGACACGGCCCAGACUCCUACGGGAGGCAGCAGUGGGGAAUUGUUCACAAUGGGCGCAAGCCUGAUGACGCAACGCCGCGUGGAGGAUGAAGGUCUUCGGAUUGUAAACUCCUGUUGCUCGGGACGAAAAGCUUCGACCUAACACGUCGAAGUCUGACGGUACCGAGUGAGGAAGCCCCGGCUAACUCUGUGCCAGCAGCCGCGGUA